rnacentral:rRNA from 1 species
AAACCGGGGCUAAUACCGGAUGCUUGUUUGAACCGCAUGGUUCAAACAUAAAAGGUGGCUUCGGCUACCACUUACAGAUGGACCCGCGGCGCAUUAGCUAGUUGGUGAGGUAAUGGCUCACCAAGGCAACGAUGCGUAGCCGACCUGAGAGGGUGAUCGGCCACACUGGGACUGAGACACGGCCCAGACUCCUACGGGAGGCAGCAGUAGGGAAUCUUCCGCAAUGGACGAAAGUCUGACGGAGCAACGCCGCGUGAGUGAUGAAGGUUUUCGGAUCGUAAAGCUCUGUUGUUAGGGAAGAACAAGUACCGUUCGAAUAGGGCGGUACCUUGACGGUACCUAACCAGAAAGCCACGGCUAACUACGUGCCAGCAGCCGCGGUAAUACGUAGGUGGCAAGCGUUGUCCGGAAUUAUUGGGCGUAAAGGGCUCGCAGGCGGUUCCUUAAGUCUGAUGUGAAAGCCCCCGGCUCAACCGGGGAGGGUCAUUGGAAACUGGGGAACUUGAGUGCAGAAGAGGAGAGUGGAAUUCCACGUGUAGCGGUGAAAUGCGUAAAGAUGUGGAGGAACACCAGUGGCGAAGGCGACUCUCUGGUCUGUAACUGACGCUGAGGAGCGAAAGCGUGGGGAGCGAACAGGAUUAGAUACCCUGGUAGUCCACGCCGUAAACGAUGAGUGCUAAUUGUUAGGGGGUUUCCGCCCCUUAGUGCUGCAGCUAACGCAUUAAGCACUCCGCCUGGGGAGUACGGUCGCAAGACUGAAACUCACAGGAGUUGACGAGGGGCGCGCACAACCGGUGGAGCAUGUGGUUUAUUCGAGGCACGCUUAGAACCUUACAGGGCGUGACAUCCUCUGACCAUCCUAUAGAUGGGACGUCCCCUUCCGUGGCAGACUGACA